rnacentral:lncRNA from 1 species
CAACAAUCCAGUAACAAUCCAGAGGUCACCACCCCUUCCCAACAAUCCAUAACAAUCCAGAGGUCACCACCCUUCCCAACAAUCCAGUAACAAUCCAGAGGCCACCACCCUUCCCAACAAUCCAGUAACAAUCCAGAGGCCACCACCCUUCCCAACAAUCCGGCAAUGACCCAGAGGCCACCACCCCUUCCCAACAAUCCACUAAAAAUCCAGAGGCCACCACCCUUCCCAACAAUCCG